UUUUUAUUUUUAAGGAUACUUCCACUGACAUUCUUAGAGCUGUCAUUUUAUUGUGAGGAACUGCAGUUCGAUCGGAAUAGUUUUUCUGUUUUCGUCCUCUGUUUUGUGAGUGACCCUCUCACUCAGUCAACUCGUCUCAGGGCACAAGUCUCCCCUUCUCCAGACACUGCGUAUGAAUCAGACUCCGUAGCUCGUUGUGACACGUGAGCCUCUGGAUGAAAAGCAGAGUAUCUCUAAAGCAGCGUGGUCCUAUCAGCCCCCCAUGUUGGACUAAACACUUUCAACUCUACACAAGUGAAAACCCCAAAUCCCUAAAGAUCCUCUAUUUGCCAUACUAGAGGGACAUGAAGUAUGACUCCAUCCUCAACAUGUGGACCUGCCCUGAGGAUGUUGGACACCACUGUUACACCUUCAGCCUUCGUUGAUUUCCUGUCAGACUGGUUGUUUUUCAACUACAUUCCACGGACGGACUGACCUGAACUUUUACCAGAACAGGAAUACAAUGUUCAACAGACUCCCUCCUCACCAGUGGGACUGACUAUUCAGACUGGUCAUCUUUGAACUCAACAGGAACACAAUGUUCAACAGACUCUCUCCUCACCAGUGGGACUGACUAUUCAGACUGGUCAUCUUUGAACUCAACAGGAACACAAUGUUCAACAGACUCUCUCCUCACCAGUGGGACUGACUAUUCAGACUGGUCAUCUUUGAACUCAACAGGAACACAAUGUUCAACAGACUCUCUCCUCACCAGUG